rnacentral:rRNA from 1 species
UACAGAGGGUGCAAGCGUUAUUCGGAAUUACUGGGCGUAAAGAGCACGUAGGCGGUCUUGUAAGUCUGAUGUGAAAUCCCUGGACUCAAUCCAGGAAGUGCAUCGGAUACUGCGAGACUAGAGUACAGGAGGGGAGAGUGGAAUUUCUGGUGUAGAGGUGAAAUUCGUAGAUAUCAGAAGGAACAACAGUGGCGAAGGCGACUCUCUGGACUGUCACUGACGCUGAGGUGCGAAAGCGUGGGGAGCAAACAGG